CCCUAAACGAAAAUUUUAAAACCCCAACAUAAAAAACCGCGUACUCUCUCUCUCCCCUUCGUAGAAAUGGAAACGUCGGCGACAGAGUCAACUGCCGGAAAGUUCCGAUACUUUCGCUGCCAUUUUUUCCGGCGAUGCUGCCGAUGCUUUUGCUGCUGCUACACCUUUCCUUGAUCACUUCAGUUUCUUUCCUAUGAUUCUGAAUUUCUCUUCAGAAAAAUGUCGUCUUCUUCUGUAAAUAACUGAAGAAUUCAGAACAUGGAAAAGUUGCAGUAAGGAUCUCAUGGCUGAUUCCUGUACAUGCAGAGCAUCAUUUGAAGCUCUAGUAUCAUUUUGUGAGUGAGAAUUACUUCUGCCAGCUUGGACAUUUUUACCAUUUCUAGAACCACAAGGAAUCUGGCAAGUACUUACUAGGAUUGGUUUUUCCCUUUUUCUUCUCUUUUUUGUCUGCUUGUGUUUGUUCCUCACCAGUAUUUUGCUUGUAUAUGGUUGUCUAUGGUGCUGUAACUUACUUCUAUGAAUUAAACUUGUCAUGAUGAUCUUUCAUUUAUGGCCGAAUUCUCUUUGUUGAAAGUUUGAAACUUAAGUAAUCAAUAUAUGUUGUAUUUUACUUA